GACGAACGCUGGCGGCGUGCUUAACACAUGCAAGUCGAGCGGUAAGGCCCUUUCGGGGGUACACGAGCGGCGAACGGGUGAGUAACACGUGGGUGACCUGCCCUCAGCUCUGGGAUAAGCCUGGGAAACUGGGUCUAAUACUGGAUAUGACUCCACGGUGCAUGUCGUGGGGUGGAAAGCCUUGUGCGGCUGAGGAUGGGCCCGCGGCCUAUCAGCUUGUUGGUGGGGUGANGGCCUACCAAGGCGACGACGGGUAGCCGGCCUGAGAGGGCGACCGGCCACACUGGGACUGAGACACGGCCCAGACUCCUACGGGAGGCAGCAGUGGGGAAUCUUGCGCAGUGGGCGAAAGCCUGACGCAGCGACGCCGCGUGAGGGAUGACGG
rnacentral:rRNA from 1 species